CGUGCAAGUAUUUCAAGCGUCUUUUGCAGACUGGCGGUAUUUGUUUAUACAAGCUAGAAUAUUUAAUGUACCGCGAUGGGUGGUGAUCACCUCAUAUUAAUACUAGCUUACAAUUGGGUACCUUAUGUUGCGACAAGUAUUUUUUGUUUCAAAACUAUGGAAAUUAGUUCCAAGAGAAUGAUAUUUUAUACCAAGAAAUAUCAGUCUCAAUAACCUUGAUACAGGCUCAAUAACCUAAAUAGAAUAUUGUUAUAAAGUCUGUGUUCCAACUUGCUUCAAAUCUUUCCUAAAAUUGUGCCUUUA
rnacentral:lncRNA from 1 species